AUGAAAACGAAGAAAGAAAACAAAAAGAUCAAGACGACGAAAAAUUUAAUUUCAAAUAUCACAUGUUAUAUUGUAUCUAUAUAUACAUUAUUCAUGCGUGCACAUGCGUAAAUCAGGACCUGUAUUAUUACCCCUACCAAUCCCUAUAAUGAUAAUAAUAUAUAUUAUAUAUACAUAUAAUUGGUAAUACACGUCAUUGCCUGUCGUUCGUAUAGGUUUUUGUACAUACAAUUAUCGAGAUCGGUGAUACCCUUAUAUUAUUGUCGAGAUACAUCCUAUACAUAUCUACUACAACGACGACGGCGACAAAAGACGACCGGGAAGCCGCCUGACUACUCACCACUGACCUUUUCAGUUUUCAUCAUUAUUAUAUAAUAGAAAACACUCGCUGGACCGUGAACGAGACCUCUGCCCGGUCGACCCUCUUUGGAUCUUUUCAUAGGCGAACUCGGCAGCGGGUAGUUUUGUGUACAAUCCCCUCUCGAACCCCACCAACUACCUGAACACCGCCGAAUACCGGGAAAUAUUCCCCGCAAAGACCUCAUAAGCUCGACACUGUCAUUUAUUAUUCAAUUAUUCUCGUUCGGAGACCCGUACAGCGCGCAUGAGAUCGCAUGAAUAGCUACUGAACAGUUGCAGACUUACAAUAGGUAUAUACCUAUACUGCUUCAGUAUAAUGUUCAUCGGCAGUUCAGGCCGCCGUUCACUACUCAGUGUUGUACGUCCCCAGUCGCUGCCAAGAAAAUUCUAAUAUAAUUUAGUCUUACCGAUUCCUGCGAUGGCUCCGGUUAUACACUUUUGGACUUUCAGCGUUGGACAUCAUUGGUAUAAUAUUUUCGCAAUUUUUGUUACAAGAUUCUUCACCACGUAUAAACGCCAAGGCCAUUAUUCGUCUUCAGAGAAUCCACAUGACAGUGACAAGUGCGAAUCACCGAGUAUAACAUGACAUUUGUCCGAGGUCCUACCAACGUUCAGGUUGUAGUUUCGCUUAGGUUAUCCUGUAGAAAUUUAUUUGUAAUGCACGAGAAGUAAUCUCAUGGCUCAAAGACGAUUAUUUUUAUUGAUUAAAGAACUCUAAAACUUCAAGUACCUAGUCAAGGAAGAGAACAUAUAAAUUCGAUCUCGGAGCGCAACUUUGAUGAAAAAAUAAUAGAACAGUAUAACGUAUAGAUCACAAUUACCUGGUUAAGUAUGUCAAACUAAUUGCAUGGUACAUAAUCUAACUAAACGCAACAGAAUAAAAAUUGAAGUAUCAAGAAUAUGACAUUUUAGGAAUGGAUAAUUGAAGAAUAUUGUUUAGUACAUGCUGGGAAUAUAUUAUAACAUAAUACAUUAAAGAUUUUAAAUGGAAAUAUGAAGAAAGUUGAAUAAAUGAGCAUAAUGAAUAUUCUUCAAAGGAAUGUAUUUUUGAAUUGUGGAUCAACUACACCUAAGGUUACCAAAAAAAUAUUUAUCUAUAAUGCAGGGUAUUUAAAACCCGAAAAAAAUGUAUUCAUUAAAAUUUGCUUUGG